AACCUUACCUACUCUUGACAUCCAGAGAACUUAGCAGAGAUGCUUUGGUGCCUUCGGGAACUCUGAGACAGGUGCUGCAUGGCUGUCGUCAGCUCGUGUUGUGAAAUGUUGGGUUAAGUCCCGCAACGAGCGCAACCCUUAUCCUUUGUUGCCGGCGGUUCGGCCGGGAACUCAAAGGAGACUGCCAGUGAUAAACUGGAGGAAGGUGGGGAUGACGUCAAGUCAUCAUGGCCCUUACGAGUAGGGCUACACACGUGCUACAAUGGCAUAUACAAAGAGAAGCGACCUCGCGAGAGCAAGCGGACCUCAUAAAGUAUGUCGUAGUCCGGAUCGGAGUCUGCAACUCGACUCCGUGAAGUCGGAAUCGCUAGUAAUCGUGGAUCAGAAUGCCACGGUGAAUACGUUCCCGGGUCUUGUACACACC
rnacentral:rRNA from 1 species